rnacentral:rRNA from 1 species
UUUCCAGACUCCUACGGGAGGCAGCAGUGGGGAAUAUUGCACAAUGGAGGAAACUCUGACCCAGCAACGCCGCGUGAAUGAUGAAGGUCUUCGGAUUGUAAAGUUCUUUUCUAAGGGAAGAAGAAAGUGACGGUACCUUAGGAAUAAGCCUCGGCUAACUACGUGCCAGCAGCCGCGGUAAUACGUAGGAGGCAAGCGUUAUCCGGAAUGACUGGGCGUAAAGGGUGCGUAGGUGGUUCAGCAAGUUAGUAGCGUAACUCCGGAGCUCAACUUCGGCACUACUACUAAAACUGUUGGACUUGAGUGCAGGAGGGGCAACUGGAAUUCCUAGUGUAGCGGUGGAAUGCGUAGAUAUUAGGAAGAACACCGGUGGCGAAGGCGAGUUGCUGGACUGUAACUGACACUGAGGCACGAAAGCGUGGGGAGCAAACAGGAUUAGAUACCCCGGUAAA